rnacentral:rRNA from 1 species
AGCGAACGCUGGCGGCAGGCCUAACACAUGCAAGUCGAACGGAUCCUUCGGGAUUAGUGGCGGACGGGUGAGUAACACGUGGGAACGUGCCCUUUGGUUCGGAACAACUCAGGGAAACUUGAGCUAAUACCGGAUGUGCCCUUCGGGGGAAAGAUUUAUCGCCAUUGGAGCGGCCCGCGUCUGAUUAGCUAGUUGGUGAGGUAAAGGCUCACCAAGGCGACGAUCAGUAGCUGGUCUGAGAGGAUGAUCAGCCACAUUGGGACUGAGACACGGCCCAGACUCCUACGGGAGGCAGCAGUAGGGAAUCUUGCGCAAUGGGCGAAAGCCUGACGCAGCCAUGCCGCGUGUAUGAUGAAGGUCUUAGGAUUGUAAAAUACUUUCACCGGGGAAGAUAAUGACGGUACCCGGAGAAGAAGCCCCGGCUAACUCCGUGCCAGCAGCCGCGGUAACAC